rnacentral:rRNA from 1 species
CCUACGGGAGGCAGCAGUGAGGAAUAUUGGUCAAUGGGCGCAAGCCUGAACCAGCCAAGUCGCGUGAGGGAUGACGGUCCUCUGGAUUGUAAACCUCUUUUGUCGGGGAGCAAGGCCCGCCACGUGUGGCGGGAAGGAGAGUACCCGAAGAAAAAGCAUCGGCUAACUCCGUGCCAGCAGCCGCGGUAAUACGAGGGAUGCGAGCGUUAUCCGGAUUUAUUGGGUUUAACGGGUGCGUAGGCGGAAGGUUAAGUCAGCGGUAAAAUGUCGGUGCUCAACACCGGCCUGCCGUUGAAACUGGGCUUCUUGAGUGAGGGAGAGGUAUGCGGAAUGCGGGGUGUAGCGGUGAAAUGCAUAGAUAUAACGAAGAACUCCGAUUGCGAAGGCAGAAUACCGGCGCUCAACUGACGCUGAGGCACGAAAGCGUGGGGAGCGAACAGGAUUAGAUACCUGAGUAGUC